rnacentral:rRNA from 1 species
UACGAAGGGUGCAAGCGUUACUCGGAAUUACUGGGCGUAAAGCGUGCGUAGGUGGUUUGUUAAGUCUGUUGUGAAAGCCCCGGGCUCAACCUGGGAAUGGCAAUGGAUACUGGCAAGCUAGAGUGCGGUAGAGGGUAGUGGAAUUCCCGGUGUAGCGGUGAAAUGCGUAGAGAUCGGGAGGAACACCAGAGGCGAAGGCGGCGACCUGGACAAGCACUGACACUCAACUACGAAAGCGUGGGGAGCAAACAGG